rnacentral:rRNA from 1 species
GGGUUGUGAGGUUAAGCGACUAAGCGUACACGGUGGAUGCCCUGGCAGUCAGAGGCGAUGAAGGGCGUACUAAUCUGCGAUAAGCGCCGGUAAGGUGAUAUGAACCGUUAUAACCGGCGAUACCCGAAUGGGGAAACCCAGUGUGACUCGUCACACUAUCAUUAACUGAAUCCAUAGGUUAAUGAGGCGAACCGGGGGAACUGAAACAUCUAAGUACCCCGAGGAAAAGAAAUCAACCGAGAUUCCCCCAGUAGCGGCGAGCGAACGGGGAGGAGCCCAGAGCCUGAAUCAGCAUGUGUGUUAGUGGAAGCGUCUGGAAAGGCGCGCGAUACAGGGUGACAGCCCCGUACACAAAAGCGCAUGUGCUGUGAGCUCGAUGAGUAGGGCGGGACACGUGGUAUCCUGUCUGAAUAUGGGGGGACCAUCCUCCAAGGCUAAAUACUCCUGACUGACCGAUAGUGAACCAGUACCGUGAGGGAAAGGCGAAAAGAACCCCGGCGAGGGGAGUGAAAAAGAACCUGAAACCGUGUACGUACAAGCAGUGGGAGCACAGGUUUACCUGUGUGACUGCGUACCUUUUGUAUAAUGGGUCAGCGACUUAUAUUCUGUAGCAAGGUUAACCGAAUAGGGGAGCCGGAGGGAAACCGAGUCUUAAUUGGGCGUUAAGUUGCAGGGUAUAGACCCGAAACCCGGUGAUCUAGCCAUGGGCAGGUUGAAGGUUGGGUAACACUAACUGGAGGACCGAACCGACUAAUGUUGAAAAAUUAGCGGAUGACCUGUGGCUGGGGGUGAAAGGCCAAUCAAACCGGGAGAUAGCUGGUUCUCCCCGAAAGCUAUUUAGGUAGCGCCUCGUGAAUUCAUCUCCGGGGGUAGAGCACUGUUUCGGCUAGGGGGCCAUCCCGGCUUACCAACCCGAUGCAAACUGCGAAUACCGGAGAAUGUUAUCACGGGAGACACACGGCGGGUGCUAACGUCCGUCGUGAAGAGGGAAACAACCCAGACCGCCAGCUAAGGUCCCAAAGUCAUGGUUAAGUGGGAAACGAUGUGGGAAGGCCCAGACAGCCAGGAUGUUGGCUUAGAAGCAGCCAUCAUUUAAAGAAAGCGUAAUAGCUCACUGGUCGAGUCGGCCUGCGCGGAAGAUGUAACGGGGCUAAACCAUGCACCGAAGCUGCGGCAGCGACACUGUGUGUUGUUGGGUAGGGGAGCGUUCUGUAAGCCUGCGAAGGUGGCCUGUGAGGGUUGCUGGAGGUAUCAGAAGUGCGAAUGCUGACAUAAGUAACGAUAAAGCGGGUGAAAAGCCCGCUCGCCGGAAGACCAAGGGUUCCUGUCCAACGUUAAUCGGGGCAGGGUGAGUCGACCCCUAAGGCGAGGCCGAAAGGCGUAGUCGAUGGGAAACGGGUUAAUAUUCCCGUACUUGGUGUUACUGCGAAGGGGGGACGGAGAAGGCUAUGUUGGCCGGGCGACGGUUGUCCCGGUUUAAGCGUGUAGGUGUGUGUUCCAGGUAAAUCCGGUUCACUUUAACACUGAGGCGUGACGACGAGGCACUACGGUGCUGAAGCAACAAAUGCCCUGCUUCCAGGAAAAGCCUCUAAGCAUCAGGUAACAUCAAAUCGUACCCCAAACCGACACAGGUGGUCAGGUAGAGAAUACCAAGGCGCUUGAGAGAACUCGGGUGAAGGAACUAGGCAAAAUGGUGCCGUAACUUCGGGAGAAGGCACGCUGACACGUAGGUGAAGUGAUUUACUCAUGGAGCUGAAGUCAGUCGAAGAUACCAGCUGGCUGCAACUGUUUAUUAAAAACACAGCACUGUGCAAACACGAAAGUGGACGUAUACGGUGUGACGCCUGCCCGGUGCCGGAAGGUUAAUUGAUGGGGUCAGCGCAAGCGAAGCUCCUGAUCGAAGCCCCGGUAAACGGCGGCCGUAACUAUAACGGUCCUAAGGUAGCGAAAUUCCUUGUCGGGUAAGUUCCGACCUGCACGAAUGGCGUAAUGAUGGCCAGGCUGUCUCCACCCGAGACUCAGUGAAAUUGAACUCGCUGUGAAGAUGCAGUGUACCCGCGGCAAGACGGAAAGACCCCGUGAACCUUUACUAUAGCUUGACACUGAACAUUGAGCCUUGAUGUGUAGGAUAGGUGGGAGGCUUUGAAGUGUGGACGCCAGUCUGCAUGGAGCCGACCUUGAAAUACCACCCUUUAAUGUUUGAUGUUCUAACGUGGACCCGUUACCCGGGUUGCGGACAGUGUCUGGUGGGUAGUUUGACUGGGGCGGUCUCCUCCUAAAGAGUAACGGAGGAGCACGAAGGUUGGCUAAUCCUGGUCGGACAUCAGGAGGUUAGUGCAAUGGCAUAAGCCAGCUUGACUGCGAGCGUGACGGCGCGAGCAGGUGCGAAAGCAGGUCAUAGUGAUCCGGUGGUUCUGAAUGGAAGGGCCAUCGCUCAACGGAUAAAAGGUACUCCGGGGAUAACAGGCUGAUACCGCCCAAGAGUUCAUAUCGACGGCGGUGUUUGGCACCUCGAUGUCGGCUCAUCACAUCCUGGGGCUGAAGUAGGUCCCAAGGGUAUGGCUGUUCGCCAUUUAAAGUGGUACGCGAGCUGGGUUUAGAACGUCGUGAGACAGUUCGGUCCCUAUCUGCCGUGGGCGCUGGAGAACUGAGGGGGGCUGCUCCUAGUACGAGAGGACCGGAGUGGACGCAUCACUGGUGUUCGGGUUGUCAUGCCAAUGGCACUGCCCGGUAGCUAAAUGCGGAAGAGAUAAGUGCUGAAAGCAUCUAAGCACGAAACUUGCCCCGAGAUGAGUUCUCCCUGAGACUUAGAGUCUCCUGAAGGAACGUUGAAGACGACGACGUUGAUAGGCCGGGUGUGUAAGCGCAGCGAUGCGUUGAGCUAACCGGUACUAAUGAACCGUGAGGCUUAACCUUACAACGCCGAAG